rnacentral:rRNA from 1 species
UACGUAGGGUGCGAGCGUUGUCCGGAAUUAUUGGGCGUAAAGAGCUCGUAGGCGGUGUGUCGCGUCGGCCGUGAAAACCUGGGGCUCGACUCUGGGCGUGCGGUCGAUACGGGCAGACUAGAGUUCGGCAGGGGAGACUGGAAUUCCUGGUGUAGCGGUGAAAUGCGCAGAUAUCAGGAGGAACACCGGUGGCGAAGGCGGGUCUCUGGGCCUUACCUGACGCUCAGGUGCGAAAGCUAGGGGAGCGAACAGG